rnacentral:tRNA from 1 species
GAUCCAGUGGCCUAAUGGACAAGGCACUAGCCUCCUAAACCAGGGAUUUUGGGUUCAGAUCCCACCUGGGCUG